UGCAAGUCGAACGGAGGCCCUAGCUUGCUAGGUGUCCUUAGUGGCGCACGGGUGAGUAACACGUGGGAACAUACCUCAUAGUACGGAAUAACUGCGGGAAACUGUAGCUAAUACCGUAUAUUCCAGUAAUGGGAAAGAUUUAUCGCUAUGAGAUUGGCCCGCGCAAGAUUAGUUUGUUGGUAAGGUAAUGGCUUACCAAGGCUACGAUCUUUAGCUGGUUUGAGAGGAUGAUCAGCCACACUGGGACUGAGACACGGCCCAGACUCCUACGGGAGGCAGCAAUAGGGAAUAUUGGACAAUGGGGGCAACCCUGAUCCAGCAAUGCAGCGUGAGUGACGAAGGCCUUAGGGUUGUAAAACUCUUUCAUCGGUGAGGAUAAUGACAGUAGCCGAAGAAGAAAGGACCGGCUAAUUCCGUGCCAGCAGCCGCGGUAAUACGGAAGGUCCUAGCGUUGUUCGGAAUUACUGGGCGUAAAGCGCAUGUAGGCGGAAACAGAAAGUUAGAAGUGAAAUCCCUGGGCUCAACCUAGGAAUUGCUUUUAAAACUUCUGUUCUGGAAUUCAGGAGAGGAAAAUGGAAUAUCCAGUGUAGAGGUGAAAUUCGU
rnacentral:rRNA from 1 species